GACGAACGCUGGCGGCGUGCCUAAUACAUGCAAGUCGAGCGAAGCAGCGAAUGGGUGAGUAACGCGUGGGUAACCUGCCCUUAAGUCUGGAAUACGAUUUGGACACAGAUGCUAAUAACGGAUACUUAAGGAUGGACCUGCGAUGAGUUAGCUAGUUGGUGAGGUAACGGCUUACCAAGGCGAGGAUGCCUAGCUGAUUUGAGGGAAUGAUCGGCCACAUUGGGACUGAGACACGGCCCAAACUCAUACGGGAGGCAGCAGUAGGGAAUAUUCCACAAUGGGCGAAAGUCUGAUGGAGCAACGCCGCGUGAGUGAAGAAGGUUUUCGGAUCGUAAAGCUCUGUUGUUGGUGAAGCGGUAAUCAACCAGAAAGUCACGGCUAACUACGUGCCAGCCGCCGCGGUAAUAC
rnacentral:rRNA from 1 species